UAUAGAAGCCGAAAUCAAA
rnacentral:miRNA from 1 species